rnacentral:rRNA from 1 species
GACGAACGCUGGCGGCGUGCUUAACACAUGCAAGUCGAGCGGAGCGGCGAACGGGUGAGUAACGCGUGAGUACCUGCCCCCCUCUCUGGGAUAACAGUUGGACACGGCUGCUAAUACCGGAUAGUGGGGGAUGACUCGGGGCCUAUCAGCUUGUUGGUGGGGUAGUGGCCUACCAAGUCGACGACGGGUAGCCGGCCUGGGAGGGGGACCGGCCACAUUGGGCUGAGGUACGGCCCAAACUCGUACGGGGUGCAGCAGUGGGGAAUAGUGCACAAUGGUGGAACGCCUGAUGCAGAAACGCCGCGUGCGGGAUGACGUCCUUCGGGUUGUGAACCGCUUUCAGCCAUGACGCGGUAGUGGCAGAAGAAGCACCGGCUAACUACGUGCCAGCAGCCGCGGUAAUAC